CCAGUUAUCAAAGGAGAAUUGAAAUAUUGGGAAAUACAGGAUAUAAUUGGAUAACUAAAGUUCGUUAUUCAUUGUGCUAAUAUUUACUUGUCAUCUACUUGUAGGUGAGCCUACGAUUAGUAAUAUUUGGUCCACAAGCGUUUAAACCGUCGAAAGAGGUAAAAUUAUAUCCUGUAUUUUAGUAUAAAAGUAUCCUUCUUGCAGGAGAAAUAUGUCAUGCGGGAUAUUGUUCGUUGAAAAUACCGCUGUAUUCUCUCGUGUCCGAACUAAUUAUACUUUACAAAUAUCGUGAAAAUAACUAAGACUGACCGUCCCCACAGUUUUCCUCUGUUUGUGCGUUUCUCUUACGGGGAGUCGAAUGUUUGUUUGAAUCUACAGAUGUUCAAACAAAGUAAGGCGUAUAAGUCCUUUGAAGAAUUGCAAUUAUCAAUUGAAGAAUUAGAAUAUGAGUGGAAACCCAGGAUUUGUUUCAAAUGGGAGUAGGUAAAAUAUUUUUCCUAUGUACCUUUUGUAUGGGUGUGUACAGGUUACAAUCUUGUUGUACUCGUUUUUAUCAAAACAGUUGUUAACCGCGUUUUUGUCAAGUCCUUUACAUAUAAACUGCAGUUCAUGCAUAUACUGAAGUAUUCAAUUGCUUUACAAUUGAAUUAUCUGGAAACAUUUUUUCCUAUACAUAUCGUAAUAACACCCAUCAUUUCUAACGACAUGCAGGGAUGGUUAAUCUGGGUUCAACAAGUCGGAGAAAACACGUUUAUUCAAAGGUGGAAAUCAAAUUAAAAUUCUAACUUUACAUGGAUUAGGGUGCAACUAUGGCAGUCGUACUAGAAAAACUUUUAAUAUACUCGCUAUCAAGAUUUUUUGUACACGUGUAUAAUUAUACAGAGAUAGUAUGUAAACUUCAGACACAUAAUAUAGGUCAAUUUGAGAUAUUCCGUGUUAUAUAGAUAUAACGGUCAAAAAUUGUUUUUCAUACAUAGAUUCCAUUGGAUGAUUAAAGUUAACCAUGCAUUGUGCUAAUAUUUACUUGAUGUCUAUUUCUAGGGGAGCCUACGAUCAGUUAAGUUUGGUCAGUACCUGUUAACAUGUGGAAAAAGGUAAAAUUUGUACUGGUAUUCUUGGGUUUCACUACGGCAUUAUCCAGGGGAUCUGACGGGGGGGAGUCAACCUGAAAUGUAUUGAUGCUUAUGCAGCUGUACUGGAGUGAGAAAAUGAUCGGGAAUUGCACGUUUUGCAUGCAACCAAACGGAAGGCUAAUACAUAAAUCGAGCAAUUGACUUACUCUGAUAACUGUGUUUUGUUUUAGAGUUGACCCCGUCACUUCUGUGGCAACGUCAUACGAAACCCAAAAAUUUAAGUACAAAAAUAUCCAACUUAUAGGAGAAAUAUGUCAUGCAGGAAAUUGUUUGUUGAAAGUACUGUAUUUUCUUUAUUCCGUUGAGUACUGUACGUUGCAUCUAUCAUUUUACAAAUAUCGUGAAAAUAACUAAAACUUACCGUCCCGACCUCUUUCUUCGUUAUCUUCAUUAUCAUGGGUCUGGGUGGAAUCUUUGCUUGAAUCUGCAGAUGUUAAAAUAAAGUAAGGCAUAAGUGCUUUGAAGAAUUCCAGUUAUCAAAGGAGAAUUGAAAUAUUGGGAAAUGCAGGAUAUAAUUGGAUAACUAAAGUUCGUUAUUCAUUGUGCUAAUAUUUACUUGUCAUCUACUUGUAGGUGAGCCUACGAUUAGUAAUAUUUGGUCCACAAGCGUUUAAACCGUCGAAAGAGGUAAAAUUAUAUCCUGUAUUUUAGUAUAAAAGUAUCCUUCUUGCAGGAGAAAUAUGUCAUGCGGGAUAUUGUUUGUUGAAAAUACCGCUGCAUUCUCUCGUGUCCGAACUAAUUAUACUUUACAAAUAUCGUGAAAAUAACUAAGACUGACCGUCCCCACAGUUUUCCUCUGUUUGUGCGUUUCUCUUACGGGGAGUCGAAUGUUUGUUUGAAUCUACAGAUGUUCAAACAAAGUAAGGCGUAUAAGUCCUUUGAAGAAUUGCAAUUAUCAAUUGAAGAAUUAGAAUAUGAGUGGAAACCCAGGAUUUGUUUCAAAUGGGAGUAGGUAAAAUAUUUUUCCUAUGUACCUUUUGUAUGGGUGUGUACAGGUUACAAUCUUGUUGUACUCGUUUUUAUCAAAACAGUUGUUAACCGCGUUUUUGUCAAGUCCUUUACAUAUAAACUGCAGUUCAUGCAUAUACUGAAGUAUUCAAUUACUUUACAAUUGAAUUAUCUGCAAACAUUUUUUUCCUAUACAUAUCGUAAUAACACCCAUCAUUUCUAACGACAUGCAGGGAUGGUUAAUCUGGGUUCAACAAGUCGGAGAAAACACGUUUAUUCAAAGGUGGAAAUCAAAUUAAAAUUCUAACUUUACAUGGAUUAGGGUGCAACUAUGGCAGUCGUACUAGAAAAACUUUUAAUAUACUCGCUAUAAAGAUUUUUUGUACACAUGUUUAAUUAUACAGAGAUAGUAUGUAAACUUCAGACACAUAUAGGUCAAUUUGAGAUAUUCCGUGUUAUAUAGAUAUAACGGUCAAAAAUUGUUUUUCAUACAUAGAUUCCAUUGGAUGAUUAAAGUUAACGAUGCAUUGUGCUAAUAUUUACUUGAUGUCUAUUUCUAGGGGAGCCUACGAUCAGUUAAGUUUGCUCAGUUCCUGUUAACAUGUGGAAAAAGGUAAAAUUUGUACUGGUAUUCUUGGGUUUCACUACGGCAUUAUGCAGGGGAUCUGACGGGGGGGAGUCAACCUGAAAUGUAUUGAUGCUUAUGCAGCUGUACUGGAGUGAGAAAAUGAUCGGGAAUUGCACGUAUUUGCAUGCAACCAAACGGAAGGCUAAUACAUAAAUCGAGCAAUCGACUCACUCUGAUAACUGUGUUUUGUUUUAGAGUUGACCCCGUCACUUCUGUGACGUCAUACGAAACCCAAAAAUUAAAGUACAAAAAUAUCCAACUUAUAGCCGGAGAAAUAUGUCAUGCAGGAAAUUGUUUGUUGAAAAUACAGUAUUUUCUGUAUUCCGUUGAGUACUGUAGGUUGCAUCUAUCAUUUUACAGAUAUCGUGAAAAUAACUAAAACUUACCGUCCCGACCUCUUUCUUCGUUAUCUUCAUUAUCAUGGGUCUGGGUCGAAUCUUUGCUUGAAUCUGCAGAUGUUAAAAUAAAGUAAGGCAUAAGUGCUUUCAAGAAUUCCAGUUAUCAAAGGAGAAUUGAAAUAUUGGGAAAUACAGGAUAUAAUUGGAUAACUAAAGUUCGUUAUUCAUUGUGCUAAUAUUUACUUGUCAUCUACUUGUAGGUGAGCCUACGAAUGGUAAUAUUUGGUCCACAAGCGUUUAAACCGUCGAAAGAGGUAAAAUUAUAUCUUGUAUUUUAGUAUAAAAGUAUCCUUCUUGCAGGAGAAAUAUGUCAUGCGGCAUAUUGUUCGUUGAAAAUACCGCUGUAUUCUCUCGUGUCCGAACUAAUUAUACUUUACAAAUAUCGUGAAAAUGACUAAGACUGACCGUCCCCACAGUUUUCCUCUGUUUGUGCGUUUCUCUUACGGGGAGUCGAAUGUUUGUUUGAAUCUACAAAUGUUCAAACAAAGUAAGGCGUAUAAGUCCUUUGAAGAAUUGCAAUUAUCAAUUGAAGAAUUAGAAUAUGAGUGGAAACCCAGGAUUUGUUUCAAAUGCGAGUAGGUAAAAUAUUUUUUCUGUGUACCUUUUGUAUGGGUGUGUACAGGUUACAAUCUUGUUGUACUCGUUUUUAUCAAAACAGUUGUUAACCGCGUUUUUGUCAAGUCCUUUGCAUAUAAACUGCAGGUUCAUGCAGGUACUGAAGUAUUCAAUUGCUUUACAAUUGAAUUAUCUGGAAACAUUCUUUCCUAUACAUAUCGUAAUGACACCCAUCAUUUUUAACGACAUGCAGGGAUGGUUAAUCUGGGUUCAACGAGUCAGAGAAAACACGUUUAUUCAAAGGUGGAAAUUAAAUUCAAAUUCUAACUUUACAUGGAUUUUAGGGUGCAACUAUGACAAUCGUACUAGAAAAACUUUUAAUAUACUCGCUAUCAAGAUUUUUUUGUACACGUGUAUAAUUAUACAGAGAUAGUAUGUAAACUUCAGACACAUGCAUAUAGGUCAAUUUGAGAUAUUCCGUGUUAUAUAGAUUUAACGGUCAAAAAUUGUUUUUCAUACAUAGAUUCCAUUGGAGGAUUAAAGUUCACCAUGCAUUGUGCUAAUAUUUACUUGAUAUCUAUUUCUAGGGGAGCCUACGAUCAGUUAAGUUUGGUCA
rnacentral:lncRNA from 1 species